rnacentral:rRNA from 1 species
CCUACGGGCGGCAGCAGUGGGGAAUAUUGCACAAUGGGCGCAAGCCUGAUGCAGCCAUGCCGCGUGUGUGAAGAAGGCCUUCGGGUUGUAAAGCACUUUCAGCGGGGAGGAAGGCGGUGAGGUUAAUAACCUCAUCGAUUGACGUUACCCGCAGAAGAAGCACCGGCUAACUCCGUGCCAGCAGCCGCGGUAAUACGGAGGGUGCAAGCGUUAAUCGGAAUUACUGGGCGUAAAGCGCACGCAGGCGGUCUGUCAAGUCGGAUGUGAAAUCCCCGGGCUCAACCUGGGAACUGCAUUCGAAACUGGCAGGCUAGAGUCUUGUAGAGGGGGGUAGAAUUCCAGGUGUAGCGGUGAAAUGCGUAGAGAUCUGGAGGAAUACCGGUGGCGAGGGCGGCCCCCUGGACAAAGACUGACGCUCAGGUGCGAAAGCGUGGGGAGCAAACAGGAUUAGAUACCCUAGUAGUC